rnacentral:rRNA from 1 species
UACGGAGGGUGCAAGCGUUAUCCGGAUUUACUGGGUUUAAAGGGUGUGUAGGCGGGCUUUUAAGUCAGUGGUGAAAUCUCCGGGCUCAACCUGGAAACUGCCAUUGAUACUAUUAGUCUUGAAUUUUGUUGAGGUAGGCGGAAUAAGUCAUGUAGCGGUGAAAUGCAUAGAUAUGAUUUAGAACACCAAUUGCGAAGGCAGCUUGCUAAACAAAUAUUGACGCUGAGGCACGAAAGCGUGGGGAGCGAACAGG